rnacentral:rRNA from 1 species
UACAGAGGGGGCAAGCGUUGUUCGGAAUUACUGGGCGUAAAGGGCGCGUAGGCGGCCUUCUAAGUCGAACGUGAAAUCCCUGGGCUCAACCCGGGAACUGCGUCCGAUACUGGAAGGCUAGAAUCCGGGAGAGGGAUGCGGAAUUCCAGGUGUAGCGGUGAAAUGCGUAGAUAUCUGGAGGAACACCGGUGGCGAAGGCGGCAUCCUGGACCGGUAUUGACGCUGAGGCGCGAAAGCGUGGGGAGCGAACAGG